CUGACAUAUGAUGAGAGAACGGAUCGACUGGGAUUAUAUUCACUGGAAUUUAGAAGGAUGAGAGGGUAUAUUAUAGAAGCAUAUAAAAUUCUUAAGGAAUUGGACAAGCUAG